AUGGUAAAUUUGGCAGGGUCAGCGCGUCGGUUCUUUCCUGGAAUAUUCGUGCAUUUAAAAUGUCCUUCAGCUUUACGGUUUUGAGCUCUAUUAUUGUGUUUUUAUAGUCAUUAAUUCAUAGUUCGUCCCUGCGUAAGACCAUUAAUAAGCGUGGUUGAGAUACUAAGCUUGGCGGGGAAGCGAGCGUUGGCGCCAUUCCCGGGUCGACCUCCAUCCCAAGCAGACGCACGGCAAGACGCUCCUCACGAUGGCGCCAAAUAUUCACGAUUAUAACGCCGCAGCCCGGUUAUUUGGCAAUAGCACUACUUAAUUAAGUUGCCCUGACACAACAUGUAAGGGGCAGAAACAGAAGAUUACACCACCCAAUACCUACCACGACAUGCUACUGCACACAAUACUAGCACAGCCAUACCAAGAAAACAAGGUGGACAUUUUAGAACUAUUGUUAUGUAAAGAAGCAAUAAGACUGUGAAGUCAAGAAAGACCUGAUCAGAAGAAUGGGGAAGAAGAGAAGAAGAAAAGAAAACUGACCUCUUUUACAAUACACAGGUUACUGGACCCCUCCCUUUUACACAGACUACUACUACUACUGCUACUACUACUACUACUACUACUACUACUACCAUAUUGCAGCUUUAAUCAAGAAACUUGAAACAUGCAUAAACAGAAGGAAGGAAAUUAAAUAUAUGCAAGAAUUUUGGAAGAAUCACUUAAAAUCCGAGAAGAGACAGCAGCACUCAACCAGGCACAAGAAAAUCAAGAAGUGGAGGCUCCGAACUGCACUGAACUGAACUGUAAACUUUAUCAGAAGGGAGGAUAUUAAAUAUACUCAAGAAUUUUAGAAGAAUCGCUUAAAAAUCAGAGAAGAGAAGGCAGCACGACCAGGCACAAGAAGACCAUUUAGAGGGGCAAAGGCAACCCUCCGAACAGAACUGGAAACAAACAGAACGGAGGAAAUUAAAUAUACUCAAGACUUUUAGAAGAAUCGCUUAAAAUUGGAGAAGAAAAGGCAGCACAACCAGGCACAAGAAGACCAUUUAGAGGGGCCGCUGCAAAGGCACUCCCUCCGAACUACACUGCACUGAACUGACCUGGUUACGGCGCCUGUACAAGUGACCCGGGAUGGAGUAUUGGCGGCAGGGCAGCUCUACGAAAGCUGCUGUGGGAGUGCUGCCCUCCACAGCAAGUAAUGGGCUGCCCUGCCCAGACCACAGCAAGAGGAGGAAGAGCUCUGCAUUACUAAGUUAAGUACCUCACUAUGACAUUCUGAGGGUUUGGCCUCAUUUUUGCCUUCUAUUUAAAACUUUUUACUUUCUAAUGAACCUUAAUCUUUUUCUCAGCCUGCCUCCUCCUCCUCCUCCUCCUUCAACUUCCUUUACCUCCUUGUGUGAAUCUGUCCGUCCCGAGAUCCGGCGAGACCAUCCCGACGUCGUAACACCCGUUUGGGAGUGGGGGGACUCAUGAAGCUGUCGGCGGCAGCCCUAAGGUGGGGACGGUUGCGCCGACACCUCCACUCCGUUUCGGCGGAAUGUGGCUGGCUAGGGUGGCCUGAACCACUGUCUGGGUUGUUUGUCGUUCAGUCGGAUUGAGGAUCUGCCUCCCUUGAGGUGCACAUGUCAUAGUGGUGGCAGAAGAGAGAAUGAGUGAAGCUGAUGUCAUCCCGACGUCGUAACACCGUUGGGCGGGGCGGGGCUCUCAUGUCAAGUCUCCCCGCGGUGCACAUGUCACAGAGGUGCAAACAGCAUGGCCUUCUUUCCUAUCUUUUCCCCCUCCUCCUUCUCCACCCCCUCCCCCACACACACCUCCUGCUGUUAUAUCGUCACCCUCAUAAAGUAAUUGCCUAAGUCAUUUUUCAGUGAUUUCCAUUUUUGUUAACUUGUCUUAGAUAUUCAGGGUUUGAGUGUUCUAGAAUUGCCUUUUUAUUUCUUCCUAAAUCUUAAGCCAAAUGAGAUGAUGACGUUCUCUUCUUGAAAAAUAGAAAAUAACGACUUGGGCGGUUUCUUUACGAAGGUGGCGAGAUUGUAAUAGGUUUUGCACCCUCUAUUUAGGGAUGUGCACUAAUUUUUGUCUCUUCUCUUCCCCUCCUCCUCCCCUGGCUGGCCGGGGAACGGAGGAGGAGCACUAGGACGAGGAGGUGAAGCGAGGCGGAGGGAGAGACGACUCGAGCACAGGGAGGCAAGAGACAAGAAGCAGAGACGCAGGAACCGGAAGCUGCUGUGGGAGUGCUGCCCUCCACAGCAAGCAAGGGGCUGCCCUGCCCAGACCACAGCAAGAGGAGGAAGAGCUCUGCAUUACUAAGUUAAGUACCUCACUAUGACAUUCUGAGGGUUUGGCUUCAUUUUUGCCUUCUAUUAAAAGCUUUUUACUUUCUAACGAACCUUAAUCUUUUCUCAGCCUGCCUCCUCCUCCUCCUCCUCCUUCAACUUCCUUUACCUCCUUGUGUGAAUCUGUCCGUCCCGAGAUCCGGCGAGACCAUCCCGACGUCGUAACACCCGUUUGGGAGUGGGGGGACUCAUGAAGCUGGGGGCGGCAGCCCUAAGGUGGGGAGGGUCGCGCCGACACCUCCACUCCGUUUCGGCGGAAUGUGGCUGGCUAGGGUGGCCUGAACCACUGUCUGGGUUGUUUGUCAUUCAGUCGGAUUGAGGAUCUGCCUCCCUUGAGGUGCACAUGUCAUAGUGGUGGCAGAAGAGUGUGUGAAUGAAGCUGAUGUCAUCCCGACGUCGUAACACCGUUGGGCGGGGCGGGGCUCUCAUGUCAAGUCUCCCCGCGGUGCACAUGUCACAGAGGUGCAAAGAGCAUGGCCUUCUUUCCUAUCUUUUCCCCCUCCUCCUCCUCCACCCCCUCCCCCACACACCUCCUGCUGUUAUAUCGUCACCCUCAUAAAGUAAUUGCCUAAGUCAUUUUUCAGUGAUUUCCAUUUUUGUUAAGUUGUCUUAGAUAUUCAGGGUUUGAGUGUUCUACAAUUGCCCUUUUUAUUUCUGCCUAAAUCUUAAGCCAAAUGAGAUGAUGACAUUCUCUUCUUGAAAAAUAGAAAAUAACGACUUGGGCGGUUUCUUUACGAAGGUGGCGAGAUUGUAAUAGGUUUUGCACCCUCUAUUUAGGGAUGUGCACUAAUUUUCGUCUCUUCUCUUCCCCUCCUCCUCCCCUGGCUGGCCGGGGAACGGAGGAGGAGCACUAGGACGAGGAGGUGAAGGGAGGCGGAGGGAGAGACGACUCAAGCACGAGGAGGCAAGAGACAAGAAGCAGAGACGCAGGAAUGGAAAGGCAGCCAGAUGGUCGAUGCUGUGAAGAGGAGGAAGAUGACUGCAGGAGGCGGUGUGUGUGUGUUGGGGAAGGAGACAACGGCACCACCCUCACACACAGCUGGUUAAGGCCUGCAAGAGAGCCUAGUCAAUGAAGAGGAAAAGAAGAAGAAAGAAUAAAGAAGACAAGAAGAAAGAAGAAAGAAGAGACAAAACAGGAGGAGGGGAUAUUUUUUCUGUCUAUACCUGAAGUGUGAUGAAUUUACAAAGGGUAUAUUUAAGUCUGAUAUAACGCGGUGCAUUUAAAUAAGGUAUAUUUAACGGUACCAGUGUGUAGCCUACUUUUGCCUGGAGUUGGAGACGGUAAAAUGCUCUCCGACUCCUUUAUUGUGGUGCUGUGUGGUUUGUUUACUGUGGUGCGAUGUGGUUCGUUUACUGUGGUGCGGUGUGGCUCGUUAACUAAGGUGAGGUAUGGUUCGUUUAUUGUAGUGCGGUAUGGUUCGUUUACUGUGGUGCGGUGUGGCUCGUUAAUUAAGGUGAGGUGUGGUUCAUUUAUUGUGGUGCGGUGUGGUUCGUUAAUUAAGGUGAGGUAUGGUUCGUUUAUUGUAGUGCUGUAUGGUUCGUUUACUGUGGUGCGGUGCGGCUCGUUAAUUAAGGUGAGGUGUGGUUCAUUUAUUGUGGUGCGGUGUGGUUCGUUAAUUAAGGUGAGGUAUGGUUCGUUUAUUGUAGUGCGGUAUGGUUCGUUUACUGUGGUGCGGUGUGGCUCGUUAAUUAAGGUGAGGCGUGGUUCAUUUAUUGUGGUGCGAUGUGGCGUUGCGGGCUUUACUUUCCCUACCACUGCACCAGACAAGGGUAAGGGGGAGGGGGUGGAGUCAAAUUUUUUUAUAUCCGACUCCACACCUGUGUUAGAGUGUAAGAGUAUUGAUCGAAUAUAUUUAGGUGCUGGGUGAUACUGUGGUGCUCUCGUCGCGGCAACCCAUUCUGCUUCUACAUAUUAACCCGUACUGCUGCAUGACGCAUAGCAACCCGUGUUUUUUCUGCUGCCGCAACGACCCGUACUGCUAACGCAUAAUGACCUGUGCUGCUUCUGCUAUUUUCUGAUCAAAGAUCAAAGAGAGGAUUAGGCCUUCAGGGGACACCUCUUAAAUAAAAACGCGCCUGGGACUUUUACCUCAGAGGUGGUGUGGAAAAAAAGUCCAGUCACGAAAAUAAGUAUCUUAUACUCCAUGAAAGUGUCUCAGUCUUAUGAGAACACAAAGGUUGAGAGGGCUCAGACAUUCUGUUGUUUACUGCACACACUCCCAUGUUAGCAGUAAGGGUACUAAAUUCUGAUCUCUGUACAAAACAACCAAAUAAUAAGGAAAAGAAAGUUGAAUAAAAUGUUUGCCUGCAUUCUCCGUCAGCAGCGUAGACGUAACAAGGGUUGAAAAAAUGACUUAUUUAUUACAGCCGCUGGCCAACGCCUUGACCCCAGAGGCUUUGUGUUUGUCUCCGCGUCCUCCGCACUACACUGCACAGAAUCUGGCGAGCCUGGGUUGUGACAGCUAUUUCCCAAAGCCUCCAAGGAUACCAGUCAGGCUUAUGAGUGUUUUUCGUGUUGUUGGGGAAGCUCGCAAAUCUACACCUGGAAAUACUACUACCAACACAACCCAUAUGAAAGCCUUUCCUAAAACAUAAAACCUCUACCAGUGCCUUACCAGACGGAACCAAAGCUUACCAAAUACCCAAAAAUCUCUACUAUUUGUGGUUGACUCAAGGUAUUGAAUUUUCACUUAUUUUUUUUACACUGAUGUUAGUGUCCCUUAUAUGUCUUGUUGGGUCUGUUAUUUGUUCUAUAUAUAAGGUAUUGAAUUUGCACUUAUUUUUUAUAAUGACGUUAGUGUCCCUCAUAUGUCGUGUCAUUGAGGGAGUGUUUGGGUCUAUUAUUUGUUCUAUAUAUAAGGUAUUGAAUUUCCACUGAUUUUGUAUACUUAUGUUACUGUCCCUCAUAUGUUGUGUCAUUGAGGGAGUGUUUGGGUCUAUCAUUUUUUAUGUUUUGAUGCCCCUUUCAUAUAUCUAAAUAAUGACAUCCACCUUAAAAUAAAUGUAUGUGUCUGUGGUCAUCCCAAAACUGAAGGUUGGUAUCUACUCCACUGUUUUUCAUGUUUUCUCGGACAGUUCAUAUUAUUAGCAAAUGUUUUUACCUCUGCUGUGAUUGGCACGGAUUUCGCCUUCACUGGUAGCCUGGUAACAUGUACUCCCAGAUCAUUCUCGGCCUCUGUGGUGGAUAGUUGAGUGCUUCCCAUGUGGUAUUGGUAUGCUGGAUAUCCCCUCCCAAGGUGCAGGACUAUAUAUUUUUCUUCAUUGAAUUGUAGCAGCCACUUUUUGCUCCACUCCUGUAGCUUGGUGAUGUCUUCUUGUAGGAAAUCCACAGUGAAGGGUUUAAGCAAGUGAGAUUUUACCCUCCCAUGACCAAUGUACAGAAGGGACCCUGUAGUUGUUUGAAGGAAUAUUACCGGAUUGAUUAACUAGAUGGUACAUAUUAGAUUAGGGCAAAAUAUGAGAAUGGGGGCAGGAGACUGGCUUCAACGAGAGGGUAUAAUAUAGAUUGACCUUGUAGUUAUUGAAGGAAUAUUACUGGACUUGGGAGAGAGGGUGGAGGGAGGAGGAGAAAUAUUGAUAACAGACGAUAGUGAUCCUUUAUAUGGUGAUGAAGGGAAUGGUGAUGGGAAGGUGAUAGGUACUGGUGAUGAUAAUGGUGAUGUUAUAGUGAUGGAGGGAGGGAUGUGGCAGGUGGUUGGAUGAGAGGUGAAGGGGGA